GCGAACGGGUGAGUAACACGUGAGUAAUCUGCCUUAAAGACUGGAAUAACGUUUCGAAAGGGACGCUAAUACCGGAUGUGGCUUGGAUGCAACAUUGCAUUUUAGUUAAAGACGGGGACCGCAAGGCCUGUUGCUUUGAGAUGAACUCGCGGCCUAUUAGGUAGUUGGUGAGGUAACGGCUCACCAAGCCGAGGAUGGGUAGCCGGCCUGAGAGGGUGUACGGCCACACUGGGACUGAGAUACGGCCCAGACUCCUACGGGAGGCAGCAGUAGGGGAUCUUGCGCAAUGGGCGAAAGCCUGACGCAGCGACGCCGCGUGAGCGAAGAAGUCCUUCGGGGUGUAAAGCUCUGUUGAUAGGGAAGAACAGUAUACAUUCGAACAGGGUGUAUAUGUGACGGUACCUAUAGAGGAAGCUCCAGCUAACUCCGUGCCAGCAGCCGCGGUAAUACGGAGGGAGCGAGCGUUAUUCGGAAUUACUGGGCAUAAAGGGCGCGUAGGCGGUGAUGUAAGUCAGGGGUGAAAUGCCAUAGCUCAACUAUGGAGAUGCCCUUUGAUACUGCAUGACUUGAAUACUGGAUAGGUGAGUGGAAUUCCUGGUGUAGCGGUGAAAUGCGUAGAUAUCAGGAAGAACACCGGUGGCGAAGGCGGCUCACUGGACAGAUAUUGACGCUGAGGCGCGAAAGCGUGGGGAGCAAACAGGAUUAGAUACCCUGGUAGUCCACGCGUAAACGAUGGAUACUAAUUGUUGGGCUUUCGGCUCGGUGACGGCGCAAAUGCAAUAAGUAUCCCGCCUGGGGGAGUACGACCGCAAGGUU
rnacentral:rRNA from 1 species